rnacentral:lncRNA from 1 species
UGUCAAACCCAUUAUUUUUCAGGUAUAAACUUGUUAGCAGAUGUUCCAAAGAUCCAGUCUGCUUCCACCCUCAUGAUAUGAUGGGGUGUGGUGCUUCAGAACUUGGAUACUCUCUACCUGGGAAGAGUGAAUCAGCCUUAAUUAGGCCUGAUUGUGGGCAGAGGAGAAGGGGGAUAAACAACCCUUGGACCUGUGGUAUGCCUCACCUGCGUCUUCCAAAUCUAGCAAGAGGGAGAAGUUGGCCUUACUUCAUCUGUCCUUGACCUAAAAAAAGGGGCUUGGGGACAAGACAUUGGCAUACCAGGAGGAACAAAAAUGGUUUGAGAGGCAAGAGACGCAUGUGAGUAUAAUUAGUUGCUGAGGCAAGGUGCAGGCAAAUGUAAGGCUGGCAAAAGGGAUACCUAAUGAGAAGUUUGUGGAAUAGCCAAGAACUCUUCUGCACUGCUAUGUAGCCAGAGAGUACAGCUGCAGCAGGAAGCAAAAUUACUGUACUCUAUAAAAUGGCAGCCCUGUAACUGCUGUGUGUAUUACAGAAGUGCAGGAAGAGUUCAAAAAUCAAAAGAUGGUAGAAGAAAACUAAAAUGCAUUUUUUUUAAGAAAGUUUAAUGAUUUUUAUAUAUUUGACUAGCGUAUUCCAAGAGAAAGACUUGUGCACAUGCUUAAUGUUAAGUAAGAACAUCUUUCAAUGUUUUAAUGAAUCUGACCCCAAAUGUAAUUUUUACAUACAGUCUAUUUGUUCACUGAUGAUGAGAAUUGCAUUUCACUUUGGUUAAGGUAGAAAAAAUAUCUGUCUAUUUAGGUAACAUCAUACUGCUUCUUUUACCUUUAAAGUUAUCAGUCAGUUAUGUUUUUGUUUGAGAUAGGUAUGCUUCAUAGUUACAGUGGUAUUUUCAGCUGUAGACAAAUGAAGAUAGAAACAGAUAGGACUUAAAAAAAAAAAAACUCGAAAAAAACAGCUACUAAUAUUUGUCUCUUGAUCUUUGAAAGUCCAGUUAUCUCUUGUUAAAAAUGCCUUUUAGAAGCAGGAUACUCAGAACCUUUCUUGAAAAUAAGUUAUAUACAUUUUCUGAAAUUAGCACUCUAAAACAAUGCUACGUAAAAUUUCUAGGCAGUUAGAUGAAUGUUGGCUGUUUUGUCCAAACACACUGAAAUUCAUACAAGCUGCUGGAAUUUAUAAAAUCUGUCAGGCCAAUAGAAAAACCCUGUUUAUCUCAUCCAUUGGAGCAAAACUAAGAUCACUUGAUAAAACAAACAUUGUGUUUCUAGUCUAACCUGAUCUUAUACAUUUUUGAGGUCUAGCUUUUCCCAAUUAGUUCUUCAUUAUGAAAAGUAAAUAAAGUAUCUUUUUGUGAGAGAACA